rnacentral:rRNA from 1 species
CAGGAUGAACGCUAGCACAGGCUUAACACAUGCAAGUCGAGGGGUAGCAGGAUCUAGCAAUAGAUUGCUGACGACCGGCGCACGGGUGAGUAACACGUAUCCAACCUUCCGUUUACUCGGGGAUAGCCUUUCGAAGAAAGAUUAAUACCCGAUAGUAUGCUUUUCCCGCAUGGGAGAAUCAUUAAAGUUUUUCGGUAAUCGAUGGGGACGCGUUCCAUUAGGCAGUUGGUGAGGUAACGGCUCACCAAACCUUCGAUGGAUAGGGGUUCUGAGAGGAAGGUCCCCCCACAUUGGAACUGAGACGCGGUCCAAACUCCUACGGGAGGCAGCAGUGAGGAAUAUUGGUCAAUGGACGAGAGUCUGAACCAGCCAAGUAGCGUUAGAAGGAUGACUGCCCUAUGGGUUGUAAACUUCUUUUAUAUGGGAAUAAAGGAGCCUACGUGUAGGUUUUUGUAUGUACCAUACGAAUAAGGAUCGGCUAACUCCGUGCCAGCAGCCGC